ACAUGCAGUCACGCCUUCGGGUGACGCGGACGGGUAUACGCGUGGGAACGUGCCCUUCUCUAGAAUACCCGGAAACGGAUAACGUACCCUUGGGAAGAAUUAUCGGGAGAAGGGGUCGCCGGUAAUAGUUGGGGUCGGCUCCAGCUAGACUAUAGCUGGUUUUAGAGGAUGAUCAGCAACACUGGGCACUGGAGACACGGCCCAGACUCCUACGGGAGGCAGCAAGGCUGGGGGGGAAUCUUAGACAAUGGGGGCAACCCUGAUCUAGCCAUGCCGCGUGAGUGAUGAAGGCCUUAGGGUCGUAAAGCUCUUUCGCCUGUGAUGAUAAUGACAGUAGCAGGUAAAGAAACC
rnacentral:rRNA from 1 species